AACCAACAGUCUGCUAGUUGUUGUUAGCAGCUAUUUAACUUUAGCUAACUUAGUGUAGCUGACUGCUACUGCUUUCACAUAAGAGUGGUCUAUCUUGAUGAUUAUAGAUGCAUUAGUUUAUGUCAAUAUGAACACGGAUCCUUCAACGCGUUGGAAUGCUCUUUUUGACAGCUUCAAACCCGUCCAUUGAUUCAGAUGAGUUUGAUUACUGCACUUAGUUAACUAACAACAAGUGCAGCAGUAAGACAACGUUAGCUAGCUAGCCCUAUGAAAAGCCCUUAAUUUGUAUGAACUUUGCUACUUACUUGCUGUUCUACUAGAGUUGUUUAUUUGUUUUUGAAUUGUGUUUGCCAGAGUAAAUCUAGAUAAAUGUACCAAACGUUAGCUGAAAUUUGGCUAACCUUACAGUUUGAAAAUUAAGAAGACAUAUCCAUCUUUCGGCGACCAGUAGCCCUUCUUCCUAAACACACAGAGGGCCUAGUGUGUCUUGUCAUUGGAGGACUCUGAAAUAGAGAAGCUUCAAAUAUCUGUGGCACAGUCACAACUGUGUUGGACAGAGGAGACCGUUUGCCCACAUAGAGAGCCUACAACUGAACCCCAUGGAGUUUAUCAAGCCACUGAAUUAGCCCAGCAGGGCACACACCAGGAGCCCAGUCCCAUAGGUAAUAAGGUAAAUGAGAUAUGCAGCCAUGACUCUAUUAGAAAUGCAGCUUGGGCAGGAGGCCAUCCAUGCAGCAACGUUCCUGUGGAGAUGAAAGGGGACACCUCAGCGCACCACGGCCAUGGCACACUAAACAGACAAAAAACAACUGAGUCCACAUCGCCACACCCUUCACAUAACACAGCUUGUGAAGAAAACCCAUUGUCACUCAAUGCUUUGAGAAAGACACAGAGAACAGAUCCAAAUGGCUCUAUGAAAAAGCCACUACAAGAUAGUCAAACUGUUUUGUCUUUUGAGCCACUGGCGCACUGGGAUCUGGACCAGAUUCUUCUGACUCUUCAAACAGGUGGACUCUUUUUAGGAGGCAGUGUGUCUGACGAACCUAUUGAAGUACAACCAGAUGGAGACAAUGUAAGGUCAGAGGAUACUAUAUUGGAGAGGCGGGCUGCUUUCUGUAGGACACAGUCAUGUGGAGAUGCUGAAGAGAAAAGAGAAACUGCGCCAGAUAAAACUUCUGGUGUUCCUCAGAAAGCACCUGUCCAACAUCCUACCAAUUUCAGACAAAAUGGUGGAUGGAGAAAGUCUUUCAAAAGGAUGGCAUUUGAGUUAAAGCCAAGCUGCCAGGAAGCGCCCCACCAUUUAUAUUGAUUUACGUAACCCUGAGCCUCCCACGAACACAACCAGACCAUGUAACAGCACUUCAUCACAAUCCAUGAAACGGACCAACCUCAACCUACACGACAAAAAACAAUCUGAUGAGAAAACAGACAGAAAUAUACGGUCUGGUUUACUGAAUGGAAAAGAGGAAGUAACUGGAAAGAGCCUGUUACUCAGAAUGUUACGCGAGGCGAACAGAAACAGGAGAGAGCCGGACAGGAAAGAUCUAGUUGCAGCGGAUUCUACAUGCAGAACCCCCAGAAGAGUGGCCUUGAAGGACAAGCUGCCUGAGGCUAACAAUGAGAUAACAUCUCUGCUUCCAGAGGUGGACAACCACAAUGAAGCGUGUCCAAAACUGGCCGCCAGUUGAGAGAACACCUGCUAUUGAGCAGAGUGCUACUACCGGGCAGCCAAAGAAACAAAGUGACCGAGAGCAGAGAGCAACAGAAACAGAGAGUACAGCGCCAGCAACAGCUCCAGAAACAGCUGGAAAGCUUUAGACCAACAAGGUCUGCCGGAGACAGGGAGACUGCCGCUUGAGAAGACUGAUGUUCUUUAUGAUAC